GAUAAAUAGUUUAAUUAAUAUUUAUUGAGAUUUCAAAUAGUUAUAAUUAUUGAUUAUGAUUUAUUUGAAAUUUAUUUGGAAUUGUUUAAAAUUUGAUUAAGAUUUGGUUAAGAUUUAGGAUUUGAUUUAGGAUUGGAUUAGGAUUUGAUCUAGGAUUUGAUUAAAAUUUGGUUAGAAUUCAUUAGGAUUUCAUUAGAAUUGAUUUAAGGUUUAGAAUUCAGUUAAGAUUCAUUUAAAAUUUGAUUAAAAUUUAUUUAUGAUUUACUUAGAAUGUAUUUAGGAUUUAUUUAGUACCUCUAUUUUUAUUAUUUU
rnacentral:lncRNA from 1 species